GACGAACGCUGGCGGUGUGCCUCACACAUGCAAGUCGAACGGGGUAGCAAUACCUAGUGGCGGACGGGUGAGUAACACGUGGGAAUCUGCCCUAAGGUGGGGAUAACUGACCGAAAGGUUAGCUAAUACCCCAUAUGUCGAAAGAUGAAAGGAGUAAUCCGCCUUUGGAUGAGCCCGCGUCCGAUUAGCUAGUUGGUGGGGUAAAGGCCUACCAAGGCAACGAUCGGUAGCUGGUCUGAGAGGAUGAUCAGCCACAAUGGAACUGAGACACGGUCCAUACUCCUACGGGAGGCAGCAGUGGGGAAUUUUGUGCAAUGGGGGAAACCCUGACACAGCGACACCGCGUGAGUGAAGAAGCCUUUUGGGGUGUAAAAACUCUGUCGGCAGGGACGAAAAAAAAUGACGGUACCUGCAGAGGAAGCAUCGGCUAACUACGUGCCAGCAGCCGCGGU
rnacentral:rRNA from 1 species